UCCCUGGAGGACUAGUGGUUAGGCCACAGCGCUCACUGCCACAGCCUGGGUUCGAUUCCCGGCCAGGAAA